AACGAACGCUGGCGGCAUGCCUAACACAUGCAAGUCGAACGAGACCUUCGGGACUACUUGCGCACGGGUGCGUCACGCGUGGGAACGUGCCCUUAGGUUCGGAAUAACUCCCCGUAGGGGGUGCUAAUACCGGGUAAUGUCUUCGGACCAAAGAUUCGACGUCUUUGUAUGGGCCCGCGUUGGAUUAGCUAGUGGGUAUGGUAAAAGCCUAUCAAGGCGACGAUCCAUAGCUGGUCUGAGAGGAUGAACAGCGACACUGGGGCUGAGACACGGCCCAGAAUCCUACGGGAGGCAGCAGUGGGGAAUAUUGGACAAUGGGCGAAAGCCUGAUCCAGCAAGGGCGCGUGAGUGAUGAAGGCCUUAGGGUUGUAAAGCUCGUUUACCCGGGAUGAUAAUGACAGUACCGGGAGAAUAAGCACCGGCUAACUCCGUG
rnacentral:rRNA from 1 species